rnacentral:rRNA from 1 species
GGAUAACUACCCUUUAGGACUGGGAUAACCCUGGGAAACUGGGGCUAAUACCGGAUAGGCAAUUUUUCCUGUAAUGGUUCUUUGUUUAAAUGUUCUUUCGCCUAAGGAUGGGUCUGCGGCCGAUUAGGUAGUUGGUUAGGUAAUGGCUUACCAAGCCGUUGAUCGGUACGGGUUGUGAGAGCAAGAGCCCGGAGAUGGAACCUGAGACAAGGUUCCAGGCCCUACGGGGCGCAGCAGGCGCGAAACCUCCACAAUGUGAGAAAUCGCGAUGGGGGGAUCCCAAGUGCCAUUCUUAACGGGAUGGCUUUUCAUUAGUGUAAAAAGCUUUUGGAAUAAGAGCUGGGCAAGACCGGUGCCAGCCGCCGCGGUAACACCGGCAGCUCUAGUGGUAGCAACUUUUAUUGGGCCUAAAGCGUCCGUAGCCGGUUUAAUAAGUCUCUGGUGAAAUCCUGUAGCUUAACUGUGGGAAUUGCUGGAGAUACUAUUAGACUUGAGACCGGGAGAGGUUAGAGGUACUCCCAGGGUAGAGGUGAAAUUCUGUAAUCCUGGGAGGACCGCCUGUUGCGAAGGCGUCUAACUGGAACGGUUCUGACGGUGAGGGACGAAAGUUAGGGGCGCGAACCGGAUUAGAUACCCGGGUAGUCCUAACUGUAGACGAUGCGGACUUGGUGUUGGGGUGGCUUUGAGCUGUUCCAGUGCCGAAGGGAAGCUGUUAAGUCCGCCGCCUGGGAAGUACGGU